rnacentral:rRNA from 1 species
AACGAACGCUGGCGGCAUGCCUAACACAUGCCAGUCGAACGAGACCUUCGGGUCUAGUGGCGCACUGGUGCGUAACGCGUGAGAACCUGCCCUUAGGUUCGGAAUAACUCCCCGAAAGGGGUUCUAAUACCGGAUAAUUUCUUCGUACCAAAGAUUUAUCGCCUUUGGAUGUGCCCGCGUUGGAUUAGCCAGUUUGUAGGGUAAAAGCCUACCAAGGCGACUAUCCAUAGCUGGUCUGAGAGGAUGAUCAGCCACACUGGGACUGAGACACGGCCCAGACUCCUACGGGAGGCAGCAGUGGGGAAUAUUGGACAAUGGGCGAAAGCCUGAUCCAGCAAUGCCGCGUGAGUGAUGAAGGCCUGAGGGUUGUAAAGCUCUUUUACACGGGAUGAUAAUGACAGUACCGGGAGAAUAAGCUCCGGCUAACUCCGUG